rnacentral:rRNA from 1 species
AUUGAACGCUGGCGGCACGCCUAACACAUGCAAGUCGAGCGGCAGCGAGACUAGUAGCAAUACUAGUUGUCGGCGAGCGGCGGACGGGUGAGUAACACGUAGGAAUCUGCCCUUAAGCGGGGGAUAACCAAGGGAAACUUUGGCUAAUACCGCAUAAUCUCGAGAGAGCAAAGCUGCCCGCAAGGGUGGCACUUGAGGAGGAGCCUGCGUCCGAUUAGCUAGUUGGUGGGGUAAUGGCCUACCAAGGCGAUGAUCGGUAACUGGUCUGAGAGGACGACCAGUCACACUGGGACUGAGAAACGGCCCAGACUCCUACGGGAGGCAGCAGUGGGGAAUAUUGGACAAUGGGGGCAACCCUGAUCCAGCGAUGCCGCGUGAGUGAAGAAGGCCUUCGGGUCGUAAAGCUCUUUAGGUUGGGAAGAAGGGUAUUGGCUGAAUAAUCCAGUACUUUGACGUUACCGACAGAAUAAGCACCGGCUAACUCUGUGCCAGCAGCCGCAGUAACAC